rnacentral:lncRNA from 1 species
CUUUAUAUGUAUUGUAAAGGAGUAUAUUUUAUUUGUAAGAUGUGUUAUUCAACUAUAUAUCUCGGAUAUAAAUGAGAGAUAUUUAUUCUUAACAGUUAUUCUUAAGAGAAAAAGACCAAUAACAUUAAAUCAAAUUUUUGUUUCCAAACUAGCACUCAAGGUCAAAAGUCACAAAAAUGGUAUUCAAGGGAUGGGGUUUAGGGUUUAGAAUUUAGGGUUUAGGGUUUAGAAUUUAGGUUUUAAGGUUUAGAAUUGAGAAGUGAAGUUUUGGGGAUAAGAUUUCAAAUUUUGAAAAAUUAAAAAAUUUAAAUUUUUCAAAAGAUAAAAUGCUAUUUUGGUCAUUUUAGUUUUUGAGUGCUAUUUUUGUGUUAGAAACUUAGAAAUGUGAUAUUUUGGAGAUUUGCCCUAUUCUUAACUUA